AGAGAAUCGCUUGAGCCUGGGAGGCAGAGGUUGCAGUCAGCGGAGAUCGUGCCACUGCGCUCCAGCCUUGGCGACACAG
rnacentral:snRNA from 1 species